UACGGAGGAGGCAAGCGUUAUCCGGAAUUAUUGGGCGUAAAGCGUCCGCAGGUGGCACUUCAAGUCUGUCGUCAAAGACUGGGGCUUAACCCUGGAAAGGCGGUGGAAACUGAAGCGCUAGAGUGUGGUAGGGGUAGAGGGAAUUCCCGGUGUAGCGGUGAAAUGCGUAGAGAUCGGGAAGAACAUCGGUGGCGAAGGCGAGUCCCUGGACAACACCUGACACUGAGGCACGAAAGCUAGGGGAGCAAACAGG
rnacentral:rRNA from 1 species